GAUUCACAAAACCGACAUCAUCCUCCGGACUGCUGGACGGUUCCCCAUCGUUAACAACCUCAUCAGCAUCUUCUGCACAUCUUAAUUACUUUGCCUAUUGUGCGAAUAUUCCUACUUGCCAUGUAGAUUCAGAGGCUUGCCCCAGGUUUUAGAGGAUGGGAAACGACGUCGCGCAGCAGGCUCAACAGCAGUCGGAGCAAGCUCUAUGAGCAUUGGAAGAACAGAUACGUCGUCCCUUAAUACUUUUUAAAUAUCUUGAUGCCUGCCAAACUUAUCCCUCAGCCUGAGUGUGUGGUUGCUACGGAGGAAAGUUUGCUACAUCAGAUGUGUACUCAAUUGCAGUCUCAGAAUUGAGUCUAUGGUAACUAGAUAUUGAGCGAUCAAACCCUCAAUUCAAGUGACGGUCUACUUUGCAAUGCGUCUUUGAAAACCCCAUCCGCACUGUAAAAGCCAUCACAAAAUGUACCCUGCAGGAUCAUUUUUGAAUCUCCACUAGGAUUGUUGAUGCGAUUAUGUUCAUGAGAUUUUUUUUGGUCUACCUUUGGCAAAGUUUUACCUCUUGUCAUGAUAACGUUGAUAGUAUGGUCACUGACGUAUUUACCUCAUCAACGAUAUUUAAAUCUGAUAACUCGGGUUAGGUUUGAGACUUAAGAGAAAUCUGUUUAGUAAUAUAUGUCAGAGAAUUGCAAGGGGU
rnacentral:sRNA from 1 species